CUUUGAUUGCUUAACAAUUUUACAGGACUGUGAGAUCACAUGGUGAUUCAAUUUCAGAAGCCAAAACAACAAAUUUCAGAAGCCAAAACAGCAGAUGAAAAAGUUCAGUCCCCAUCCUCAAAGUAAGCAAAUCAUUAUCUUAGAUUUUAAGAUGAGGAUGUGAUGCGCUGCAUAUACUGGGAAUGUUAAUAGUGGGUGAUUUUUAUUGGUUAAUUACCAAACUGUAGAAGAGGUUAUAUGAUUUGGAUUUUGAGGUGAUGUUAUAUUGUUUAAUUUUUCGGAACAAAUAUGUGAGUUUUAUUUCUAUUUACAUUCUUGAGAAAUCUGUUUUCAAAUUUUGCAUAUUAUGUGUUUGACAAAAUGCUUGAUAGAACCCUGCGAAUUUUUCUUUACAUUCUUGAGAUUGUCUCUUGCUGAUUCUUUUCUUCUUUUUUUGUUGCAGGGAUUAAAGUAGAAUCUAUAACUAUAUUACUCCAUGUAAUAUGAUUGCAAAUAAUAAACGUUAAACAUAAUUUUUUUAUUCAUGUUAUUAUUUAUUUAUACAAUGAUGUCUACAAUUUCAGAACCCCAUAUAAAGACGUCAAGUUGUAACCUUCUGUUUUAUACCCUUUUUCUCCAUCGGUUCCCAUAUUUUUCUUCCCUCUAUUUUGUAUGCUUACUGUGAAAAAGGGACUUUUGUGAUGUUAUCUAUUUGGCAACUUAUGUUCUGGGGUUAAUGUGGGUUAAUGUAGUUUUGGAUAUUUGUACAUGCGGUGAGUCAAGUAAUUUAUUUCGGAUCCGAGGUUGUGAACCUCGAUGCUUAAUAUCUCAGUGAUCUCACCAAUACGACAAUGAACUAACGAACAUAUAUUGCAAAUAAUAAUCGUUAAACAUAAGAG
rnacentral:lncRNA from 1 species